AACGAACGCUGGCGGCGUGCCUAACACAUGCAAGUCGAACGAGAAAGUUUCCUUCGGGAAACCAGUAAAGUGGCGCAAGGGUGAGUAACACGUGAAUAAUCUGCCUAUGAAUUCGGGAUAACUCGACGAAAGUUGUGCUAAUACCGGAUAAGACCACGUUUCUUGUGUAAUGUGGCCAAAGGAGUCUCAAACUCCGUUUAUAGAUGAGUUCGCGUACCAUUAGCUUGUUGGCGGGAUAACAGCCCACCAAGGCUACGAUGGUUAGCCGACCUGAGAGGGUGAUCGGCCACACUGGAACUGAGACACGGUCCAGACUCCUACGGGAGGCAGCAGUGGGGAAUAUUGCGCAAUGGGCGAAAGUCUGAACCAGCCAUGCCGCGUGCAGGAUG
rnacentral:rRNA from 1 species